UAUUAAAUUCAUCUGGUUCAUCUUCCGUAUUAAUCUGGGCAUUGGAUAUCAGUAAACAAGAGAGAUUAAGAGGAGGCAGGGGUCGUAGAGGUGGCAUUAAAAGCUUUGAUGACAUCUGUGGGUCUUGCUGUCCGUUGGAGGGUUGAUGAACUAAGAGAUCCAAGAACAUUAUUAUCCUUUCUCUAAGGUCAUUAAUAGCAAGGGGAUCGUUGUAGGUAAUCAAUCUUACAAGAAACUUUUGUUUUUCGUGAUUCACAUGGGAGGUGGUCUAGGCCAUUGAUGAGAGGGCUAAAAACCGAGUAGGAUUCUUCUCUUCCCCUAAAAAUGAUAAUGUUUCUUUCUUUCUAAUCAGAGGAACUGGUGUUCUAUUAUUUGUUAUUUAUCAGCAAUGUGAGGUCGGCAAUAAAUGCCGAAAUACAAUUCAUGGACAGAA